rnacentral:rRNA from 1 species
CCUACGGGUGGCAGCAGUCGAGAAUAAUUCACAAUGGGGGAAACCCUGAUGGUGCGACGCCACGUGGGGGAAUGAAGGUCUUCGGAUUGUAAACCCCUGUCAUGUGGGAGCAAAUUAAAAAGAUAGUACCACAAGAGGAAGAGACGGCUAACUCGGUGCCAGCAGCCGCGGUCAUACAGAGGUCUCAAGCGUUGUUCGGAAUCACUGGGCGUAAAGCGUGCGUAGGCAGUUUCGUAAGUCGUGUGUGAAAGGCGCGGGCUCAACCCGCGGACGGCACAUGAUACUGCGAGACUAGAGUAAUGGAGGGGGAACCGGAAUUCUCGGUGUAGCAGUGAAAUGCGUAGAUAUCGAGAGGAACACUCGUGGCGAAGGCGGGUUCCUGGACAUUAACUGACGCUGAGGCACGAAGGCCAGGGGAGCGAAAGGGAUUAGAUACCCUUGUAGUC